UUUUAUGUAAGUUUGAUCUUGGCUUAGGAUGAACGUUAGUGAAAUGUUUUACACAUGCGAGUUGAAAAGCGUACGGGUGAGUUUGUUAAGUAUUUAUCUUGAAAAAGAGAAGCUUUUCGGAAAGCAAGGUAGUAGGUCGUUUAAUAGACUGACCUAGCCUAUGACUUUAAGCGGUUUCGAAAGAAAGAUCCGCCACAAUGGCACUGAAAAAAGGGCCAUACUCUACGUAGAGGCAGCAGUGAAGAAUCUUAGGCAAUGAGCGAAAGCUUGACCUAGCAAUUUCACAAAAUGAAGAAGGCAAUUUUGUUGUAAAGUUUAGUAAUGAGUUUAAAUAAUGAUAUAAACUUAUUUCUUAGUCCUGACCAAUAUGCGUGCCAGCAGUCGCGGUAAUACGUGAAGGGCUUACGUUAUCUAUACAUUAGGCGUAAAACGUUUGUAGGUGGUUAUUUUUGUUAUUUUCUAAAUUUUAAUUAAACUUUAAUUUUGAAAUAAUACGUUAUAUCUAGAGGUUCUGAGAAGAAAAUAGAAUUUUUGAAGUACGGGUAAAAUCGGUUGAUAUCAAAAGGACUUUUUUGUGAAGACAAUUUUCUACGAAAACCUGACACUGAGAAACGAAAGCGCAGGUAGCAAAAAGGAUUAGAGACCCUUGUAGUCUGCGCCGUAAACGAUGUUUAUUGUUUAGUGAAAUUACUCUUCGGAGAUUUUCACUAAAUAAGCUAACGCUAAAUAAACUGCCUGGAGAGUACCCCGGCAACGGUGAAAUCCAAAAGAAUUGACGGGAGCUAGUAUAGGCAGCGGAGCAUGUUACUUAAUUCGACAAUACGCGAGUAAUCUUACCAAAGCUUGACAGGAAUCUUUUUAACAGGUGUUGCAUGGUUGUCUUCAGCUCGUGUUUUGAAAUGUAUGGUUUAGUCCUUAAACGAGCGAAACCUUUUUUUAAAGAUGUUUUUUCAUCUUUAAAUCAGCUGAGAUAAUCAGUUUGAAAUUUAAGACUAAGACAAAUCUUCAUGACCCUUAUGCUUUGGGCUGUAAACGUGCUACAAUGGUAAAUUCAAAAAGAAGCAAUAAAGAAAUUUAAAGCAAUCCUUUUAACCAUUACCGUAGUUCGGAUUAAAAGUUGAAACUCACUUUUAUGAAGUUGGAGUUGCCAGUAAUCGUGGAUCAGCACGCCACGGUGAAAUUUUUUACCUAGCUUUGUACAUACCGCCCGUCAUGUUAUGGGAGGUUUCGUUGUAUGAAAUGGUUUUAGCCUAUAGUAUAACGCAGCUGACUGUAAUAAAGUCGUAACAAGGUAGCCGUAAGUGAACUUGCGGCUGAAUUUAUAAAUAAA
rnacentral:rRNA from 1 species